UACGUAGGGGGCAAGCGUUAUCCGGAUUUACUGGGUGUAAAGGGAGCGCAGACGGCAGUGCAAGUCUGAUGUGAAAGCCCGGGGCUCAACCCCGGAACUGCAUUGGAAACUGUACAGCUUGAGUGUCGGAGAGGUAAGCGGAAUUCCUAGUGUAGCGGUGAAAUGCGUAGAUAUUAGGAGGAACACCGGUGGCGAAGGCGGCUUACUGGACGAUUACUGACGUUGAGGCUCGAAAGCGUGGGGAGCAAACAGGAUUAGAUACCCCUGUAGUCCCU
rnacentral:rRNA from 1 species